rnacentral:rRNA from 1 species
UAACCAUGCAAGUCGCACGGGCAGGGCAACCUGUCAGUGGCGGACGGGUGAGUAACGCGUAGGAAUCUAUCCUUGGGUGGGGGACAACCGUGGGAAACUACGGCUAAUACCGCAUGAUCCCUGAGGGGCAAAGGCGAAAGUCGCCUGAGGAGGAGCCUGCGUCUGAUUAGGUAGUUGGUGGGGUAAAGGCCUACCAAGCCUGCGAUCAGUAGCUGGUCUGAGAGGAUGAUCAGCCACACUGGGACUGAGACACGGCCCAGACUCCUACGGGAGGCAGCAGUGGGGAAUAUUGGACAAUGGGCGAAAGCCUGAUCCAGCAAUGCCGCGUGGAUGAAGAAGGUCCUCGGAUUGUAAAGUCCUUUUGGCGGGGACGAUGAUGACGGUACCCGCAGAAUAAGCUCCGGCUAACUUCGUGCCAGCAGCCGCGGUAAUACGAAGGGGGCUAGCGUUGCUCGGAAUGACUGGGGCGUAAAGGGCGCGUAGGCGGACGGCACAGUCAGGCGUGAAAUUCCUGGGCUCACCUGGGGACUGCGUCUGAGACGUGUUGUCUUGAGUAUGGAA